UACGGAGGGAGCAAACGUUGCUCGGAAUCAUUGGGCGUAAAGCGCACGUAGGCGGUGCAGUAAGUCGGAUGUGAAAGCCCUCGGCUCAACCGAGGAAGUGCAUUCGAAACUGCUGUGCUUGAGUACGGAAGAGGGUCUCGGAAUUCCCGGUGUAGAGGUGAAAUUCGUAGAUAUCGAGAGGAACACCAGUGGCGAAGGCGGAGACCUGGGCCGAUACUGACGCUGAGGUGCGAAAGCGUGGGGAGCAAACAGU
rnacentral:rRNA from 1 species